rnacentral:pre_miRNA from 1 species
AGUGGGAUUGCUAGGUCAUGAUGUAAGGGUAUAUUUUAACUUUGUAAGAAAUUGUCAAACUGUUUUCCAAAGUGAUUUUGUUAUUUGGUAUUAUCAAAGCAAU